rnacentral:sRNA from 1 species
UUAUGUACUCUUUGGAGAUCUCCUCUUGCCUUUCUUUCGUGCUGGUGAAUUUCUUAGAUCACCAUGUUGCAUGUUGUAGCCUAGUAGGUAUCAAGCUAAUUCUGUAGACCUUUUCCGUGGUUGAUAUUGUAAGUUAAAUUUCUGUUCAUAAAAAAUGUAGCCAUUAGAUUAACGUUUUUUAUUUUUGUUAAUGCUCUUUUGCAGGGGUCUUGCUCCUCAGAACAAACCAGAAUUGCAGAAGGUGAUGGAAAAAAGAAAACGAGACCAAGUAAUAAAGCAGAAGGAAGAAGAAGCACAGAAGAAGAAAUCCGACUUGGAAAUAGAGCUAUUAAAACGGCAGCAGAAGUUGGAGCAGCUUGAACUUGAGAAGCAGAAAUUGCAAGAAGAGCAAGAAAAUGCCCCCGAGUUUGUGAAGGUGAAAGGCAAUCUUAGGAGAACAGGCCAAGAAGUCGCCCAAGCCCAGGAGUCCUAGGCCGAGGCUGCACCAAGACCUCGUGUGUCACCCCACAGAGCUGUCUGUGGGUGCCUUCUCAAUCUCAGGGCAAAAGCCCCUGGAGAAUGUUCCA